GUUAUAUUCAUGCAAGAGAAUGUAGGGACAUCAUUGCAUAGGUAAUGAUUAAGGCGGUGAAGGGUAUUCUGGAAUGAGACACACCUGGGUUCAAAACUUUAGUUUCACACUUUGAUGGCAGUAGAUCCAAAAGAUACUUCCAGCACUUGGAUACUACCUGGGAGCAACUUGUCAUGCUUGCAUUGUAUGGAACAAGUGUUCAAAAUAGAAUGCAAAAACUGUAAGCUGAUGGAAGAGGCAGCACAUGACAUCCCUGAUACUCCAGGGAGAAUAUUUGAUAUAGGAGAUACCUUUGUUGUGUCCCUUUCUGCCUUGGUGCCAAUCAAUAUGCUGAAGUCCUCAAAAAGUUCCUGAGAGAUCCAUUUCAAAUUCUAGUGAAGAAAGAACUGAUCUUUGAAAGGCGCUGACAGAAGGAAAGGGGCAUUACCAAGAGGGAACUCCUUGAUAAGAAUUGGAAGCGGGAGUCAGUUUGGGAGGAAAGCUGUGGCCAUAAACAUUGAAGAAGACAAGAAGAUUCUUUGUGACACUGAGACUUUCUAUCACACUACGGUAGAGGAAAUGGCAAAGACUGUGGCUGACCUAAUUUAAUUCCUGGAAUGAAAUGAUUAUGAAUGUAGUGCUUGCUGUUGCUGAACGGGCAAUCACAUUGUGCAUUGUGUUUCUUUUGGGGGUAAUAUGUGAAGCUUGUCUCAGUGCUCAUAACAGAUUAAAAAUACAGAUUUUGAUAGCAAAGCAACUUCAGAC
ensembl:lncRNA